GACGAGGGGUCCUAGCGUUGUUCGGAAUCACUGGGCGUAAAGCGUAUGUAGGCGGGCUUCUAAGUCAGUUGUGAAAUCCCAUGGCUCAACCAUGGAAUUGCAUUUGAAACUGGAAGUCUUGAGUGUGGGAGAGAUUGGUAGAAUACCUGGUGUAGUGGUGAAAUACGUAGAUAUCAGGUGGAAUACCGGUGGCGAAGGCGGCCAAUUGGCCCAACACUGACGCUGAGAUACGAAAGCGUGGGGAUCAAACAGG
rnacentral:rRNA from 1 species